rnacentral:lncRNA from 1 species
CUGGUUUUCUUUCCUAAGAGUUAUUGUUUCUGGCAACGACCACACUCCAGCAGGCUCAGGCCUGAGCUGAUGAAUGGGACAACCUGAUGACCACCACAAAGUUGCGUCUGCUCCCAUCCAGCUAAUCCGAGGGCUCUCAGACAGACUGUGACUAAUGGGGACAUCUGAGGGCAGAACGUUCGAAGGCCAAGGAGGAACAAGUCCAGACAAAGUGUGAGCACACACAUCUGGAGGGCUGGGGAGCCCAUGUCACAUUCCUGGCUGGACUUUGGACUCCAGGAGGAAGGCUUCAGGUUGGGCUUGCUCAGGCUGAGGCAGUUUGGGAGAGUGGGAGUGCAGGGAACUUGGGCAUCUGAAUGCCCGGGUUUGAAUUCCACAUCUGUUGCUUUUUGGCUCUGAGAGCUCUGGCAAGUUAUGUAGCCUCCCUGGGCCUUGGUUUCUGCUUCUUUAAAAUGGGGUUAACAAUGAAGAUUGGUGUAAGAAUCACAUAUAAAGGUGCUGUCAAGAAAUCUGGUUGAAGGCUGGACAUGAUGGCUCAUGCCUGUAAUCUCAGCACCUUGGGAGGUUGAGGUGGGAGGAUCACUUGAGGCCGGGGCUUCAAGAAGAGCUUGGGUAAGACUGUAGCCAUAGCCAUAGCAAGAAUCUGUCUCUAUUUAAAAAAGAAGAAGAAGAAAAAAGGAAUGGAAAUAAAUUAAUUAAAUGGAA